GGGGUGAUGGCUCAACUGGUAAAGUGCUUGCCACUUAAGCAUAAGGGCCUGAGUUUGAUCCUCAGCACCCCU
rnacentral:tRNA from 1 species